rnacentral:rRNA from 1 species
UACGAGGGGGGCAAAUGUUGUUCGGAAUCACUGGGCGUAAAGGGCGCGUAGGCGGGUUCUUAAGUAAGGUGUUUAAUCCCGGGGCCCAACCCCGGACCGGCACUUUAAACUGGGAAUCUUGAAUAGUGGAGAGGUCGGUGGAAUUGGGGGUGUAGCGGUGGAAUGCGUAGAGAUCCCCAAGAACACCAGUUGCGAAGGCGGCCGACUGGACACAUAUUGACGCUGAGGCUCGAAAGCGUGGGGAGCAAACAGG